rnacentral:lncRNA from 1 species
AGGGAUCGGGAAUCCUGGCUACAACAUGUUUGGAGAAAGAAGUAAGUGUGCAGACUAGCUAGCUAAAAGUAGUGUCAACAAAGAAUCUGGGAUGCAGAUUAUAACAGAACCACCACAGGAACUUAGUGAAUUGCGUGGUGCAAAUAUUUUAGGGGCUGCGACCCUAUGUUUUGUUUCUGUUUAAGAGGAUUGACCUCUCCCUUGUAAACUUAACAAAAGGAACAUACUAGGCAGAGAAGUAAAUGUGGUCAACACAUUUGCAAGCAAAACAUUUUGGCCAAAGCACCUUUGCCCUUAAAAAAUAGUGAAACAUGUGAAAUUCAGCACAAGU